rnacentral:snoRNA from 1 species
UUGCAGCCAAUUAAGCCAACUGUGCUCUUCUCCCCAUGGGGGCCCGGUGCGCAAUGGCUGCAAAUAGCAGUCUCCUCAGUAGUGUAUGCAGCCUGUUGCCUGUAUGGGUUGCCCUAAGGGACCUUGGAGACAGCC